UACGUAGGUGGCAAGCGUUGUCCGGAUUUAUUGGGUUUAAAGGGUGCGUAGGCGGCCUAUUAAGUCAGUGCUGAAAUAUCCCGGCUUAACCGGGAGGGUGGCAUUGAUACUGAUGGGCUUGAGUAAAGUUGAGGUAGGCGGAAUUGACGGUGUAGCGGUGAAAUGCUUAGAUAUCGUCAAGAACACCUAUUGCGAAGGCAGCUUACUAAGCUGUAACUGACGCUGAGGCACGAAAGUGUGGGGAUCAAACAGG
rnacentral:rRNA from 1 species